CGAAGUCAAGAUCUCAAAAACUCAGCGACCUGCAGAGCUGCCUGGCUCCAAACAACCUGCAGCAUCAAACAGGCGAUCAGGGGUCACAUCGGAGCGAGUGGCCCUGCUGGUCCUCAGUGUUCUCCUGGCAGCUGCCGUCACAGCUCUUGGUGUAACCCUUUAUAAAAACACUCAAACCAUAAAGAGUCUCCAAAAGCUUCAAGAGGAAUGUGAGGCAAAAAAUCUCUCA